rnacentral:rRNA from 1 species
ACGCUCGACACCUACGGGAGGCAGCAGUGGGGAAUAUUGGGCAAUGGGCGGCAAGCCUGACCCAGCAACGCCGCGUGAAGGAAGAAGGCCCUCGGGUUGUAAACUUCUUUUAACAGGGACGAAGGAAGUGACGGUACCUGUUGAAUAAGCCACGGCUAACUACGUGCUAGCAGCCGCGGUAAUCUGAGCGGGCUGGCAAGGC